AUCUAUGGCCAUUAUCACCUUGAACGCGCAAGAUCUCAUCUGAUCUCGGAGGCUAAGCAGGGUCCGGCCUGGAUAGUACUUGGAUGAGAGACCGACUGGAAAUACCGGGUGCUGUAGGGU
rnacentral:rRNA from 1 species